rnacentral:rRNA from 1 species
AUGACAAAGCCGAAAUGUGAGGGUGGUUUGGGCUUUCGUGAUAUGCGUAUCUUCAAUCAAGCUCUUCUUGCUAAGCAAGCAUGGAGACUCGUUCAAAGACCGAAUAGCUUAUGUGCUAGAGUGUUGAAGGCUAAAUACUACCCAAAAGGAAAAUUGUUAGAUACGGUUUUCACGUCUGAUGCUUCACCGGUAUGGAGAGGAAUUGAAUAUGGGCUUGAACUCCUAAAACAGGGCAUGGUUUGGAGGGUAGGAGAUGGAAAGAGUAUCCAAAUAAUGCGGGAUAACUGGAUUCCUCGUCAGUCGGGCCUCUCGAUACAGACCAUGAAGUGUAGGAGCAGGCUCAGAUGGGUCCAUCAAUUAAUUGAUCCUCAAUCUAAGGAGUGGAACAAGCAAAUCAUUGACAAUCUGUUCUACAACUUUGAUGCCGAGGAGAUCUACAAAAUCAGAAUUCCCUCUAUCCCUAUGGAAGAUACUCUCGCAUGGAACUAUGAAAAAAAUGGUAUUUUCUCGGUAAGGAGUGCCUACAAGCUAGGUAAGUCUUUGCAGGAUGGACCGGGUGUAAGUUCCUCGGCAAACUGUGGUAAUGGCAGGGAAAGCUUAUGGAAUUUAGUGUGGAAAGCUAAAGUUCUUGGAGAACUGCCACUGACUCUCUGCCCACAAAGGAGAAUAAACACAAGAGGACACUUGAAUUGGAUGGAGUCUGCAAAGUCUGUGGAAACACAACUGAAAAUGCAUUCCAUGCUACAGUGGCCUGCACAAAGCAAAGAGCACUCAGAGUGGAAAUGA